rnacentral:misc_RNA from 1 species
GAUGAAGAACGUAGCGAAAUGCGAUAAGUAAUGUGAAUUGCAGAAUUCAGUGAAUCAUCGAAUCUUUGAACGCACAUUGCGCCCGCUGGUAUUCCGGCGGGCAUGCCUGUUCGAGCGACAUUUCAACCCUCAAGCUCUCCGGAGUUUGGUGUUGGGGCGCCUGGGGCUUUUCGACCUCAGGGCCCUCAAGUCCAUCGGCGGGACCGCCAGGACACUGAGCGCAGUAGUAUUAUUUCGCUCGGUAGGAUCUUCCACGGCGGGUCGAUCUGGCCGCUAAACCCCCCAAUUCUCACCAAAGGUUGACCUCGGAUCAGGUAGGAAUACCCGCUGAACUUAAGCAUAUCAAUAAGCGGAGGA